GGGGGCGACCCGGUUUCGACGGGGCAUCUCACGAUCGAGGAGCACGCCGAGCAUGCCGUCUGACUCGUAAAAACAACGGCAAAAUUUAGCUGCCAACGACAGCGAACUCGCACUCGCGGCUUAAGCCGUGACGGGACCCGGAGAGCCUGCCUGGAGCGCUUCGGAAUCCUGUUGAGAAAGCCAGGCUGGGACCAAAACCCGCCAUCUGAAGGUGAGGUCCGAGACGUUUCAGGUUGGUCGUCGCGCCUGGCUGUUCCGACCUGGAAGCGCGGCGACGAGAUAACAAGUCGGGACUGAGCGUGGAGAAUCUCGACGUACGGUCGCUUCGGACGGGGGUUCGACUCCCCCCGCCUCCACCA
rnacentral:tmRNA from 1 species